UACGUAGGGGGCGAGCGUUGUCCGGAUUUAUUGGGCGUAAAGGGCUCGUAGGCGGUUUGUCGCGUCGGGAGUGAAAACCCAGGGCUUAACCCUGGGCUGGCUUCCGAUACGGGCAGACUAGAGGUAUGCAGGGGAGAACGGAAUUCCUGGUGUAGCGGUGAAAUGCGCAGAUAUCAGGAGGAACACCGGUGGCGAAGGCGGUUCUCUGGGCAUUACCUGACGCUGAGGAGCGAAAGUGUGGGGAGCGAACAGG
rnacentral:rRNA from 1 species